GACGAACGCUGGCGGCGUGCCUAAUACAUGCAAGUCGAACGGUCUUUUCUAUGGAAGCUUGCUUCUACUGAGAAGAUAGUGGCGAACGGGUGAGUAACACGUGGGUAACCUGCCCAUAAGAGGGGGAUAACAUCCGGAAACGGGUGCUAAUACCGCAUAGUUUUCUUGAUCGCAUGAUUGAGAAAGGAAAGACGGCCUUUGUGCUGUCGCUUAUGGAUGGACCCGCGGCGUAUUAGUUAGUUGGUGAGGUAACGGCUAACCAAGACGAUGAUACGUAGCGGACCUGAGAGGGUGAUCGACCACAUUGGGACUGAGACACGGCCCAAACUCCUACGGGAGGCAGCAGUAGGGAAUCUUCCGAAAUGGACGAAAGUCUGACGGAGCAACGCCGCGUGAGUGAAGAAGGUUUUCGGAUCGUAAAACUCUGUUGUCAGAGAAGAACAAGUCGGAGAGUAACUGCUCCGGCCUUGACGGUAUCUGACCAGGAAGCCACGGCUAACUACGUGCCAGCCGCCGCGGUAACAC
rnacentral:rRNA from 1 species